rnacentral:misc_RNA from 1 species
UUUAUAGUUAUGUUAGUAUUAAGAACGUUAUUUAUAUUUCAA